rnacentral:rRNA from 1 species
CGGCGGACGGGUGAGUAACACGUGGAUAACCUACCUAUAAGACUGGGAUAACUUCGGGAAACCGGAGCUAAUACCGGAUAAUAUAUUGAACCGCAUGGUUCAAUAGUGAAAGACGGUUUUGCUGUCACUUAUAGAUGGAUCCGCGCCGCAUUAGCUAGUUGGUAAGGUAACGGCUUACCAAGGCAACGAUGCGUAGCCGACCUGAGAGGGUUAUCGGCCACACUGGAACUGAGACACGGUCCAGACUCCUACGGGAGGGCAGCAGCC